AUACGUAGGUGACAAGCGUUAUCCGGAUUUACUGGGCGUAAAGGGCGUGUAGGCGGUCUUGCAAGUCAGAAGUGAAAUUCCUGAGCUCAACUCGGGCGCUGCUUCUGAAACUGCAGGACUUGAGUGCUGGAGGGGAUAGCGGAAUUCCUAGUGGAGCGGUAAAAUGCGCAGAUAUUAGGAAGAACACCGGUGGCGAAGGCGGCUAUCUGGACAGUAACUGACGCUGAGGCGCGAAAGCGUGGGGAGAAAACAGGAUUGGAUACCCUGGAAUUCCACGCCGUAAACGAUGAAUACUAGGUGUAGGGGGUAUCGACUCCCUCUGUGCCGCAGUUAACACAAUAAGUAUUCCGCCUGGGGAGUACGGCCGCAAGGUUGAAACUCAAAGGAAUUGACGGGG
rnacentral:rRNA from 1 species